rnacentral:rRNA from 1 species
UACGUAGGGGGCGAGCGUUGUCCGGAUUUAUUGGGCGUAAAGAGCUCGUAGGCGGUUCAACAAGUCGGUCGUGAAAGUUCAGGGCUCAACCCUGAAAUGUCGAUCGAUACUGUUGUGACUAGGAUACGGUAGAGGUGAGUGGAAUUCCGAGUGUAGCGGUGAAAUGCGUAGAUAUUCGGAGGAACACCAAUUGCGAAGGCAGCUCACUGGGCCGCUAUCGACGCUGAGGAGCGAAAGCUAGGGGAGCAAACAGGAUUAGAUACCCUGGUAGUCCUAGCUGUAAACGAUGGAUACUAGACGUAGGAACUGGAUUGACGGUUUCUGUGUCGUAGCUAACGCGUUAAGUAUCCCGCCUGGGGAGUACGGUCGCAAGACUAAAACUCAAAGGAAUUGACGGGACCCCGCACAAGCGGCGGAGCAUGCGGCUUAAUUCGAUGAUACCCGUAGAACCUUACCUGGACUUGACAUAUAGGGUCUAGCUAUAGAGAUAUAGUGUGCAUUAGCGCCCUAUACAGGUGGUGCAUGGCUGUCGUCAGCUCGUGUCGUGAGAUGUUGGGUUAAGUCCCGCAACGAGCGCAACCCCUAUCCUAUGUUGCCAGCAUUUAGUUGGGGACUCAUAGGAGACUGCCGGUGAUAAACCGGAGGAAGGUGGGGACGACGUCAAGUCGUCAUGCCCCUUAUGUCCAGGGCUGCACGCAUGCUACAAUGGCAAGUACAACGAGUCGCAAUACCGCGAGGUGGAGCAAAUCUCUUAAAGCUUGUCUCAGUUCGGAUAGGAGUCUGCAACUCGACUCCUUGAAGUUGGAGUCGCUAGUAAUCGCAAAUCAGCAAAGUUGCGGUGAAUACGUUCUCGGGGUU